UAUACAAAGAAAUAAAUUUUUAAUUUAUUUUAAAUUAAUAAAUUUCAUUUAUUUAAUGAAAUAAAUUUUUAAUUUAUUUCAUUGUAUAUAUGCGCUAUAAAUUGUCCAUUCACCUGAUGAUGGACACUUUGGUUGUUCGAACUUUGGGCAAUUACAAAUGAAACUGAUAUGAACAUAUAUGUACAACUCUUUCUGUGGACGUAUGUUUUCAUUACUUCUGGGUCUUCCUUAAUAUAUGUCAGCAGUGGAGUGGUGUGCUUAAGGAGAGAGAGACUUGGAAAAAUACAGACCGAGAACAAGGCCAUGUGGAGAUAGAGGCAGAGACUGAAGUUGUACCACCAAAGGCAAAGAAUAUCAAGUAUUAUCAGUAACCACAGGAAGCUGGAAGAGGCCAGGAAAGGUUUUUCUUAGAGACCUUGGAAGGAGCCUGACCCUGGAACACCUUGAUUUUAGACUUCUGACCCUCAAAAUUGUGAAAGAAUAAAUUUCUGUUGUUUUAAG
rnacentral:lncRNA from 1 species